UCACAACCUCUUUGAGUGAGCU
rnacentral:miRNA from 2 species